rnacentral:misc_RNA from 1 species
UUUAACUUGUAGGAUGGAAAUAAACAAACAGCCACUUGAGAAGACAGCAAUGGUUGUUCUCAUGUUUUGGCUGUUCAAAAAUCUUUUUGUGUCAUUGAUUUCCAUAAUCAGUGGUGGUUCUGAUAGUAAAAGAUAUGUAGCUUUGUAUUUUGGCAUCCAAAAAAUAGCGCAUUAUCUAGCUUUCUUAAGAAUGGGCAAUUGAAGAUACUAAACACUUGUGUUAGGAUGCUUGUUCUGGAAACAGUUGACAAAAUGAUCAAGA